rnacentral:rRNA from 1 species
ACGGGUGAGUAACGCGUGGGAAUCUACCUUUUGCUACGGAAUAACGCAUGGAAACGUGUGCUAAUACCGUAUGUGCCCUUUGGGGGAAAGAUUUAUCGGCAAAGGUUGAGCCCGCGUUGGAUUAGCUAGUUGGUGGGGUAAAGGCCUACCAAGGCGACGAUCCAUAGCUGGUCUGAGAGGAUGAUCAGCCACAUUGGGACUGAGACACGGCCCAAACUCCUACGGGAGGCAGCAGUGGGGAAUAUUGGACAAUGGGCGCAAGCCUGAUCCAGCCAUGCCGCGUGAGUGAUGAAGGCCUUAGGGUUGUAAAGCUCUUUCACCGGUGAAGAUAAUGACGGUAACCGGAGAAGAAGCCCCGGCUAACUUCGUGCCAGCAGCCGCGGUAAUACGAAGGGGGCUAGCGUUGUUCGGAUUUACUGGGCGUAAAGCGCACGUAGGCGGAUCGAUCAGUCAGGGGUGAAAUCCCAGGGCUCAACCCUGGAACUGCCUUUGAUACUGUCGAUCUGGAGUAUGGAAGAGGUGAGUGGAAUUCCGAGUGUAGAGGUGAAAUUCGUAGA